rnacentral:rRNA from 1 species
AUACGGAGGGUGCAAGCGUUACUCGGAAUCACUGGGCGUAAAGCGCGCGCAGGCGGUCUUUUAAGUUGGAUGUGAAAGCCUACGGCUCAACCGUAGAACUGCAUCCAAAACUGUCAGUCUAGAGUGUGGGAGAGGAAGAUGGAAUUAGUUGUGUAGGGGUAAAAUCCGUAGAGAUAACUAGGAAUACCAAAAGCGAAGGCAAUCUUCUGGAACACUACUGACGCUGAGGCGCGAAGGCGUGGGGAGCAAACAGGAUUAGAAACCCCAGUAGUCC